UUGAAUAUUUUGAAUAAAUUAAGUGUAAUGAAAAAGUUAUAAACGAGAAGUUUAUUCUACACUUAUAUAUUAGUGCAAUUGAAACAUAAAUUAUUGUAAACCAGAAGUUUACACAUCGUAUAAAAUUUAUUGUUGGCAAUACCGGUUGGGUAUCCCGGAUGUAUUAUGAUGCGAAAAAAAUAAAAAAUCUAUAGGUAUGUAUUGAAGGGCCUGAAGUUCCUUCAUUCCAAUAAUUUUUAUGUGUUACUAGCUCACAAAAGAAAUUGAUAAUUUGAGAAUAUGGAUCAUUUAGACACUUUGUGACUUGAAUUGAUGCAUCAACUAAAUUGGUCACAUGCAUAUUUACUCACAACCAGAAGUUUGUGAGAUUAUUUUCUCAAAUAGUUUUGCUAAGAUCUCAUUUUCUAAAUUCUUAGAAAAUAUUUGAUAAGUAUUGUAUGUCAAUUGAAAUUGAUAUUGAACAGAAUAUGGUCAUACAAGAAAAAAAUGGACUUGAAGAUCUAUUCUUUAGACGUCUAAAGUUAAUUACAUGACUGAUACUUAUGAGAUCAUAACUUCUAAUUUAUAUUUUGGGAACAUUCAAACAUGUAUAUUGAAAUACUAAUUCGCAUCAAGCCAACAAGUUAUUAUAAGUUCUCCCCUAAUUUACAAUUUGAACUUUGUUUAUAAAUAUGAUUCCCAUGUAAGCAUUUUUGGAUGUGUUGUGUUUGUGCAAUUGUUCCAAUAGAAUGCAUUUAAACGGUUCUUAAAGAAUAUUGAGAAAAUGUAUUUGAUAUGAAUCUCCAUCUAUUAUAAAUCAUCUUGAGCCAAAAAUUUGAGAAUUAUUUACAGCCCUGUAGGCUGAUUUUCAAGUGAUGAAUUAAUUUUCCCAAUAUUAGGGGGGAGAAUAAGCAGCUGAAAAAUAUGAACCAGAAGUUCAAAUAAAUCACUUGAAAUAAAUUAAUGUUAUUAUCUCACAUUGAUCCUCAUAGUUUGAAUCAAAUGUUCAAAAGAUAAAUCAUUUGCAAAAUUUAUGAAAUCACCUAUUAGCUGCUAAUGCUCCAAUCAAAAUGGAUGUCCCUGUUGGACAAUCUUAUAUUGCAAAUCAAUAUUAACCACCCUGAAGUGUGGUAGAUCAGUCGAAUCCAAUGAUAAAAAUCCUCAAAUAAGAAUAGGAGCUAAAAAGAAAGAUGAUCCAAGUGAGAAUAUGAAAACUUCAAAAGAGUAUUUGACAUAAUUGAGUUUUAAGUUAUAGAAGAACUUCUUAGGUACUUGAAAUUUAUGAUAAUAAAGAGAUCUUGACGAAUUAUGUCAUGAAUGAAAAUUAAUGUAUGAAUGGAAUAUGAUGGAAUCGAAAGGAAGUCAACGUUGAUGAUAUUUUUAUAUAUAAUAUAGCGCUAUAUGUGAAAAGAGUUAAUGAGGAUCAUGAACUAAAUUCUAUUGAGAAUUAUAGACAAUGAUGGUCUAAAUGAAAAUACACAAUUGUUACCUAAAGCCACUUUGCAAAGUGAAAGAUCUUUGGACCCACAUUCCAUCACAAUUUUUUGAACACAAUAUUUAAUCACACAUACAUUGAAAUAUUUGUCACUUAAUACAUUAAAAAAUAUACAUUAUUUAAUUCUUUUAUCUUUAUGCAUUUUUUCACAUACAUGAGAGUGACCAAAUACAAGGUCUAAAUAAUUAAGCAUUGACUCAAAUGGUUAACAAGAUUCCCUUAAAACAAAUCCUUCAGGAAAACUCGAGUUUAAUUUUUGAUCAAAUUUUACUUAAUUCAUGGCCGAACUUUAUAUUACUAUGACCCUUUCUUCUUUAAAUCAAAGAAUUAAUACAAAAAAAAAAUCUAAAUGGUUGUGACUACAAAAGUCUUUUCUCCAUAAAACUACUACUUGAUCCCUCCGUUCAAUUUUAUAAGAUAUAUUUUGACUAAAUGCAUUAUUCAUAUAUCUUGUUUUGACCGUAAUUUUCUAAAAGUAUAUAAAUGUAAAUAUUAUCAUAUAAAAUAUUGUUUGAUUUGUCUCGAUGAAUAUUUUCAAAAUAUCAAAUUUCUAAAAUUUUUAAUAAUAGACAAUUAAAGAUAUUCAUAAUCAAAAUUAUGUAUUGACACAUGUACCGUGGUCAAUGUAUCCUUAUAUUUUUUUUGAUGGAGAGAGUAUUUAAUUAAGGAUGGUAAACACUUCAUUGUCUCUCCACACACCUAUGAAGCACGGACUCCGACACGGACACCGCGACAUGACACGGACACGGACACCACGACACCGCUAAUAUAAAAAAUAUAGGACACCGACACCGCUACAUAUUUAUAAAACAUAUAAAUUGAUAAUCAAAAUAUAUACAUGUAAAUCUAAUUUGAGCAAGUUAUAUUUUUAAAAAAAAAUUAAAACAAGAUAUGAUAGUAUUUUACCUUUAUUUAUCCAUCUACGAUCGAAAAAACUAAAAAUAUCGUAAUCAAAAUGUAAUGUCUUCAAUCCCACAUUGAUCAAUAUUGUUGUUNNNNNNNNNNNNNCCGAUCAAAGGAGUGUCAAACUAAAGAAAAAAUUGAAUUUUUUCCGACACCGAUAUGAGCUAUCCGACACGUGUCGGACGAGUGUCAUACGAGUGUCGGACACCGACACGUGUCGGACACCGCGAUACGCCUAAUCAUAGAGGUGUUGGUGCUUCCUAGCCACACACCCACAGUUAAAAGAAAUACACUUCGGAAUUAAAGGACGAUAACACGCCUUGUUGAAACAAUCACUGUUAAUUCCGCAAGGGAAUGGAGCAACUACAAUGUAAAAAAAAAAAUUGGUUACUAAUAGAUUGCAAAUAUUAUAAGUACUCGAUCGAUUUUUAUUAUAAGAAAUUUUUUAAUUUUUAAAUUCAUCCAAUAAUUAAUGUAAUUAGUUUAUAUUAUAGAUCAAAUACAUUAGACAUUCAAUAAAUUUAAAGUAGUAUUAGCUUUUUCUUAUAAAAAGGACGGACAAAAUAUAUGAUAUAAAAGAAAAUUUAAAAAUGAUUGAAGAAAUGACUUACACAUUGGUUUUCUAGGGCCGCCGCCAUCGGUUAUAACAAGAAACAUGAAAAGAAAAAUUAUCAAAACAUAAAUAAACUUCGAAAUAUGAGCCAUGUUUUUUUUCUCCUUUGCAUGCAAUGAAUUGGAAAUUGUUUGAUUAGUACUUUAUAAGUAAAAAUCCUAAAAUUUGUUAACUAUAAUUAAGUAGAUCUUAGCACUUUCG
rnacentral:lncRNA from 1 species